UUUGAUCUCAAAUCAGGUAGGACUACCCGCUGAACUUAAGCAUAUCAAUAAGCGGAGGA
rnacentral:rRNA from 1 species